ACACCUGCUUUGCAGGCAAAACAAUGGAAGCCUGAUGCUGGUGGAAAGGCAGCUUUAGUCUGCUGAGAGAAAAUGAACUCCACAUCAGAAUUCUGUAAUACCUGCAGAGAAAGAAAGAAUAUAUUUUUAGAGCUUUAUAAAAAGGAUGGAAGAAGAAGUUCCAAUGACUAGCAAAUAUAUGAAAAAAAUGCUGAAUAUCACUAGCCAUGAUGGAAAUGCAAAUCAAAAUCACAAUGAGGGGCCUGCACUGUGGCACAGCAGGUUAAAGCCCUGGUCUGAAGCACCAGCAUUCCAUAUGGGUGCCGGUUCUAGUCCCGGCUGCUCCUCUUCCAAUCCAGCUCUCUGCUAUGGCCUGGGAUAGCAGUAGAGGAUGGCUCAAGUCCUUGGGCCCCUGCACCCACUUGGGAGAUUCAGAGGUUCCUGGCUUCAGAUUGGCGCAGCUCUGGCCAUUGUGGCCAUCUGGGGAGUGAACCAGCAGAUGGAAGACCUCUCUCUCUGUCUCUACCUCUCUCUGUAACUCUGUCUGUCAAAUAAAUAAAAUAAAUCUUUUUAAAAAAUCACAAUGAAAGAAGCUCCUAGCUCCUGGCUUCGGAUGGACCAAGCACAGGCCAUUGCAGCUAUUUGGGGAGUGAACCAGUGAGUGGAUGGAAGACUCUCUCUCUCUGUCUCUUUCUGUCUGUCUGUCUGUCUCUCUCUCUCUCUCUGCCUCUCUGUAACUCUGCCUUUAAAAAUAAAUAAAUUUUUAAAAAAAGAAAAAAAAACCUUUAGAAAAGGAAAAGAAGACCUCUCUCUUCUCACUCUGCUCCCUUUGCUUUGAGGCCUCUUGUGGUUGUGUGGUCACCUCUCUGAAACACAAGGCAGCUUUGUGGACAUCACUGAUGAUGCUUGUCAGCAGGGAUCGGGCCACACUGCCAGACUGCUUUGUUAGUCAUCUCAACUGUCCAUGUCCAUUGCAGCUGCUCUGGAACUCAUAGGAAGAUCUCAGUUUUUGCAAACUAAUGGAAGAACCACUUGGCAUGAUGGAAGUGGUUCAUUACAUGACAUUCAACUAUAAUUGCCAUCCAGUCCAGAACCAGAAGAUGGUGAUCAAAUAUGUAAGAAUGAAGAUUAAUUAAAUGAAAUUAAACAACUUAAAGAAGAAAGAAAGAAGAUGAAAAAAUCCAACUAUUAGAACAUCAGCUUGCAACUCCGUGUAACUGCCACCAAAAAUCUAAAGAGGAAAAAUGCACUUAUGCUGACAAAUACACCCAGACUCCCUGGAGAAGAAUUCCUGUGAGUAACAAAUGCUCUCACCCUCCUCUCCUGUCAUUUGCUAUUUAAUGUUUUGUUUGCUUUUCUUACUCUUAAUCACUAAUAAUUUUGAAUCUGCUUAUUGCUUUUAGUUUUUUUCUUAGGCAAGUUGUUGUUUUUCUAGUCUCUUAGAUGUGAAUAUGCUGCCUUCUAAAGCUUCACUUGUAUGUCCUGCACAAGUGAAUGUGCCUUUAAUAACUUCCAUUCUGCACACCGUAGCUCAUUUUAUUUGAAUGUCUUCUCUCCUGUCAUUGCGUGUAUCUAUGAGAGUAAUAUUUGUAGAAGCCCUACAAUAAACAGAAGUCCCAUAUGCAGCUGUUGCACCUCAACAACAUGCCACAUUUUAAAAAUAUAUUAUGUUAAACUUGUUGAAGUGAAAUGGACACUAUGAGAAACAGUGACUUGAUCAGCUCUUGUCCUGACGGUUGAUGUACAAUGUAAUACUUUAUCCAUUUUAGUAUUUUUUUUUUUGUUCUAGUACCAUUGGUUGAACUCUGUAAUUAACACACAAUUAUUCUUAGGUGUUUAAAUUUUAACUGAAAAGUGAUCCCUGUUAGGAAUUUGGAAAACAUUAUGCUGAGUGAAAUAAGCCCAUACCAAAGGGACAAAUACCACUUAUUCUCCCUGAUAGGUGACAACUAACUGAGCACCAAAAAGGAAACCUGUUAAAGUGAAAUGAACACUAUGAGAAACGGUGACUUGAUCAGCCCUCACCCUGACUGUUGAUGAGCAAUUAAAUAUGUUAUCCCUCUUAGUAUUUUUUGUUUGUUUGUUCUACUUAAUACUUUUGGUUGAAUACUGUAAUCAAUACACAAUUCUUCUUAAGUGCUGAAACUUAACUGAAAAGUGAUCGCUGUUAAAUAUAAGAGUGGGAAUAAGAGAGGGAAGAGAUGUGCAAUUCAGGACAUGCUCAAGCUGACUUAUCUCAAACGGUAGAGUUAGAAACAUACCAGGGGAUUCGAAUUCAAUCCCAUCAAGGUGGCAUGUACCAAUGCCAUCUCACUAGUCCCAGUGAUCAAUUUCUGUUCACAAUUGAUCAUAAUGAUAGGACUAAGAACCAAAGGGAUCACAGAAACAAGAAUAGUGUCUGCAAAUACUAGCUGAUAGAAUCAAAAAGGGAGAGAAUGGUCCAACAUGGGAAGUGAGAUACACAGCAGACCCAUAGAAUGGCAGAUGUCCUAAACAGCACUCUGCCUCAGAAUCAGCCCUUAAGGCAUGCAGAUCCGGCUGAAAAGCCCAUGAGAGUAUUUCAGGCAUGGAAAGC